AAAGUUCUUCAGAGAGACCUUGAGAUGUAGGAUGUGUUCAGGGAAGACGAGUACCUCUGGCAUGAGGCUGCCUAGCCAUUUUCAGGGCUGCUCACCACCUUUGGUUUCUACUUGAUUCACUUAACUCUCACCUGUGACUCUAACAAGUUGUAGCCCGCUCAGCAGCCACAUUCCAGUGAACCGUUUUGGCACACAGGCUACACCAGGGUGAGGGUAACCAAGGGUAAUCAAAUCCAUCAGUGCGUGGGAGGUGUUUGUGAAGCAAAGCAUGUGAAGACUUACUCUGGUGGGUAAUGGGUGAUGAGAACAAUUUGUUCCAAUGGCCAUGAGGCAGCUGAAGCAGGCACUGUGGAGAGCUUAGAGCUUGGUUAGACUUGGAAGACUACAGUCACCCACUGCGUCCUGAGCUUACAGGAUAAACACAGCAGGUGUACGUAACAAAGGUAAAUAACACGACUAGGAUCGUCAGAUCAUGGAGUCUUUCCCCUUUAAAGGAGAAUCACACAGAGGAGGUCCUUGUCAAAAAGAAAAUCUCUAUGGAUGCCAAAAUAUAACAGGACCUUUUGUGAUUGUAAACAAUAGUAGACAAAGUUGAUGCCUAUGGAUUGGGAAACAGCUCAACAAAUUGUGAUACACAAAUGUAAAAGGAUAUUAUUAUGAUAUAAGGAAACAAUGAACAUGACAAAUACAGAGAAGCAUGGGAAGACUGACACAAACUGAUACAAAGUGAAGAAAGAGCAACCAGGAAAACAGAAUACAUAAGGAUUACAUCUGUAUGUCAAUGGAAUGUUUUGAAAUCAACAAAGAAUAAUCAUGGCUCCAAAGACGAGAUAGAAGAUGCCUCCCUCUACUCUUUUUGCAGAGAAAAGCUUGGAUUUGGAAUCAAGACACUGAACCCUACUUGUUGUCUUUGAGCAAGUUUCCUCACCUCCAAGAGCCUUAUUUUCCUCAUCUGUAACAUGGGAAAGGGGAAGGAGAGGGAAAUAUGCAUUUAUUAAGCACC